rnacentral:rRNA from 1 species
CUUGACAUGUAUGGAACCCUGCUGAGAGGUGGGGGUGCCCGAAAGGGAGCCAUAACACAGGUGCUGCAUGGCUGUCGUCAGCUCGUGUCGUGAGAUGUUGGGUUAAGUCCCGCAACGAGCGCAACCCUUGUCCCUAGUUGCUACGCAAGAGCACUCCAGGGAGACUGCCGGUGACAAACCGGAGGAAGGUGGGGAUGACGUCAAGUCCUCAUGGCCCUUAUGGGUAG